AUGGCGGUGGUGGCGGCCUUCCACUUCCCUGGGGGCACGCAGUUCCCCCAGCUAAGCAGCCCUGCCUGCUUCCCCCCUAGGUCCCUCCCUUCCUGGCAUCAACAGCUCUGAUGAGCUCAUGUCUGGAAGCCUGGGAGCUGCCCUGAAGGAAAAGGUGGGGAAACUGAGGACCAGAGUGGAGAAAGAACCAAACCAGGAUCUUAGAUGGAGAGAGACCCAGAUUCCUUCCUGCUUGCACCUGUAAGAAGCCUUUCCAGAGACAUCCUCCUGAGGUCACUCCAGCACCCUCUGUCCCUAGAAAUGUUCAGGACACAACUGGAGACCCGUCUGGCUGGACAUUAAAGAAAGAAAUGAACUGGACUGUGAAGAAGAAGACCAUGAUCAUAGUCUCAGCUCCAACACUGACUGCGUGACUUUAGGCAAGGGAUUGAGGUCCCUAAGCUUCAGCUGUGUCACCUGUAAAAUGGGGAGAAUCAUACCUGCCUUGAAAGACUAUAGUAAGGUCGACGAGAAUAAGAUACUAAGAAAUGACCUCACUCCGUGUGAGAAACCAACAGGAUUCGUCAACUGUGGCCCCGCUCCCCUCUUCACUCAUGGUCUCUUCCAUUCCCAUGAUGUCAGCAGAUAACACUCUCCCCUUGUAAAUCCAGAAUACAGUGGUGGCUAAGAAC